GAUUAAUAUUAAAUGGCCGCAGUAUUUUGACUGUGCAAAGGUAGCAUAAUCAUUAGUUUUCUAAUUAAAAGCUGGUAUGAAUGGUUUGAUGAGAGAAGAUCUGUCUCUUAAUUACUUAUUUAGAAAUUUAUUUUUAAGUUAAAAAGCUUAAAUAUUUUAAAAAGACGAGAAGACCCUAUAGAGUUUUAUAUUAGGUUUUUAAGGUUUAUUUUGGGUUUUUAUUUAUUUUUAUUAAUUUUAAUAUUUCGUUGGGGUGACGGAAAAAUUUGGUUAACUUUUUAUAGUAAAAACAUUAAUUAAUGGAUUUUUGAUCCUUUUAUUAGGAUUAAUAGAAAAAAUUACCUUAGGGAUAACAGCGUAAUUUUUUUUGAGAGUUCUUAUCGAAAAAAAAGAUUGCGACCUCGAUGUUGGAUUAAAAUUAAUUUUUGGUGCAGAAGCUUUAAAAUUAGGUCUGUUCGACCUUUAAAAUUUUACAUGAUCUGAGUUUAAACCGGCGUGAGCCAGGUUGGUUUCUAUCUUUUAAUUAAUAGGAUGUUUUAGUACGAAAGGACCAAGCAUUAAAAUUAUAUUUUAUUUUUUGAAUUAUUUUGCUAUUUUGGCAGAUUAGUGCAAUAAAUUUAGAAUUUAUAUAUGUAUGUUGAUACAAAUAGCAUUGCUUUGGGGAGAUUUAUUAGUGAUUUUUGUUUCUAUAAUUAUCUUAAUUGUUUGUGUGUUAGUAGGAGUAGCAUUUUUA
rnacentral:rRNA from 1 species